GGCCAGUUAACUCAGUUGGUUAGAGUGCCGUGCUCAUAACACUGGGGUUGCUGGUUCAAUUCCUGCAUGGGCCA